AUUGAACGCUGGCGGCAGGCUUAACACAUGCAAGUCGAACGAGUGGCGGACGGGGGAGUAUUGCUUGGGAAUUUGCCUUUUGGAGGGGGAAAACUACGGGAAACUUUAGCAAUAACCGCUCACCUUAGGUUGAGCCCAAGUGGGAUGAGGUAGUUGGUGAGGAAAAGGCUCACCAAGCCGACGAUCUCUAGCUGGUCUGAGAGGAUGACCAGCCACACUGGGACUGAGACACGGCCCAGACUCCUACGGGAGGCAGCAGUGGGGAAUAUUGCGCAAUGGGGGCAACCUGACGCAGCCAUGCCGCGUGAAUGAAGAAGGCCUUCGGGUUGUAAAGUUCUUUCGGUAGCGAGGCGUUAACUACAGAAGAAGCACCGGCUAACUCCGUGCCAGCCGCCGCGGUAAUAC
rnacentral:rRNA from 1 species